GCCAACAUGGCAUAGUGGUUUGAGUGUUGGACUAUGACUCUGGAGACCAAGAUUCAAACCCUGGCUUGGCC